AUUGAACGCUGGCGGCAGGCUUAACACAUGCAAGUCGAGCGGAUGAAGGGAGCUUGCUCCUGGAUUCAGCGGCGGACGGGUGAGUAAUGCCUAGGAAUCUGCCUGGUAGUGGGGGAUAACGUCCGGAAACGGGCGCUAAUACCGCAUACGUCCUGAGGGAGAAAGUGGGGGAUCUUCGGACCUCACGCUAUCAGAUGAGCCUAGGUCGGAUUAGCUAGUUGGUGGGGUAAAGGCCUACCAAGGCGACGAUCCGUAACUGGUCUGAGAGGAUGAUCAGUCACACUGGAACUGCGACACGGUCCAGACUCCUACGGGAGGCAGCAGUGGGGAAUAUUGGACAAUGGGCGAAAGCCUGACCCAGCCAGGCCGCGUGUGUUACGAAGGUCUUCGGAUUGUAAAGCACUUUAAGUUGGGAGGAAGGGCAGUAAGUUAAUACCUUGCUGUUUUGACGUUACCAACAGAAUAAGCACCGGCUAACUUCGUG
rnacentral:rRNA from 1 species